rnacentral:piRNA from 1 species
UGUCACAGGCCAUGGGGUGACCCCAGUGA